CAUUCUUUAACAUAUACUUAUGAGGUUUCUGUUUUUUGGCAGAAUCACCAGUGCACUCCUUGGCAAUGUGAUCAAGUGCACCACAUUUGAAACAGCCUUUGCCUACAGCAGCAAAGAAUCAGAAUUGGUGAUCAUAGGGAUCAAGGCGCUGGUGCUGCUGCAGCACAAUCAUGCCAUACCGCGCAGGGUAUUAAAGAGGCUGAAAGUGAAUACCACUUGGAUAUGCUGUUAUAUUGACCGGUAUGUAUACGGCAUUGGUGUGGUCUAGCCGCCAAAAACAAGUGGGGAGGCCUCGUUGUAAGAAUAGGGUGCGGCAGUAAUGCAGAGUCAGUCAGACAAACCAGUCCCUCACAUGAUCCAACAAGGGCUGUGACCGGAAAACGAAUAGUGGGGAACUCUCGAAUGCAGGCCCUGACACCAUCACCGUUCCGUAGGAGGUUGCUGAUGUACAUAGCACGGAAUUCAGUACUAGUGACGACAAGCACAGCCUAAGGAUGAGACUAUUCUCGGUCAAACAGCUCUCUGCCCAAAGUUGCAGAACGAACGACCUGUCUCCAUUCUCGGGAGACCAGCUAUAUAUCAGCUACCGUGGCUACAGGGAGCCUAGCAAAGAUUUGUCGAAGAAGAUCUUGUACGUGAAUGAAGUCACUUGAAUCUUUCAGACCAAGAUUGGUGUCAAGAAACCAAGAAAAGCAAACAACUUUACAUUGUAGGAGGGAGAAGAUGAUAGAAAUGUGGAGGCUUGGGAGGUUUAUGGGUUUUGGGUGAUGGGUUUUAAGUAUGGAGGGAAGAGAAAUUUGCAGAAAGUUUCAGAUUAAAUGAGUUGCAGAGGGAGGAAGAAGAAGAAGAAGAAGAGGAAGAAGAAGACCAGUAUGUUGGAGGCAAAACUUGAAAUUGAUGAUGUGUCAAAAAAAAGAU